UUUUCCUUUUAUCUCUGAUUGUAAAAAUAUAAUUUUUUCAAAUGAGGAAAAAAAUGUUGGAAAAAGUAAUUAUUUUCCCAUCUGCUCCCUCCUGCAGCCUUGUAAUCGCUCCUCCCUCCCUCCCUCCAACCCCUGCACACUUAAUGCUUUGCCACACUUACAAAUGGGUUUUAUUCUGCUGCCUGUGUGAUUUAUUUGUAUAUUUGGCUUAUUAUUUAGCAUUAAUUAGGGCAGAAGAACAUUGACUCAGGAUGGCCUGGUGCCAUAGAGACAGGCUUACUUCACUUGAGUAGAAAAAUGGCAACUUUAUCAAUCUAUAACCUUUACUCUGGAAAGCAGAGGUUUUUUUUAGAUCAUUUGUCUAAUUUUUUUAGCUAAUUUCCAGCUCUAUAGUUUCUAUAAACAAAUCUUAGGACAAUAUUUCCAUUGAAGUAAUUUAAAAAUAAGUCCAUUUUCAGUACUAUCAGUUUCACAUAUGUUAAUUUAGUAUUGAAGCUAGACAUAAACAAAAAAUAUAUAUUGCUGAGUAUCAGGACAUGUAUUAGUUCUUACCCCCCCCCUCAUUAUAUCUGAGUUAUUAAUGUAAGCACUGAAUAAGUAAAUCUGCUGGAAAACCAGACUUUCCCUGAAGCACACUGACUUCUCACUUUCUCAAUUUCAUCUAUUUCAUCUUUUUUUUCUCGCAGUUUUAAAAAUAUUUUCUCACGUACUCUCUUGUUUAUUAAUUAAUGCAAAACAAGUUUUGGACUUUUUAAGGAUUUUCAAUUUUUUUACAUUGCGCUUUCAUUUUUUUCUCUCCUUUUUAAUUGUGCUACUUUUAUUGUCUCCUGUGUACAACUGCACGAGAGAGCUCAUUUACAUUGCCUCCUGUUAUAAAAUAAAAACAAAUCAAACGUAUAUGUUGAACCAGCCGUAUACACAGGUGACUUGGGCAAUCAGUUUCAUGCUAGAUCCAAAUUGUACUCUGUGGUUAAACUGUGAGGGUUACGUAGAGCUCUAAGAGUGAGAAAAGACAAAGACAUUCCUUCCCCAGAGCAUCAGUGCCUAUUAAGAUUAUCAAGGAGAUUAUUAUGGAAGUGGAAAUUAUGACUUUUUUCCUCAUGGACCACCAUCUUCCCAGACACAGUCCCCAGCAGACUCUAGCUAUCUACAGAAUUCUGGACCUGGUUCAACCCCUUUAGGUCCUUUAGAAUCUCAGCUUUCUGGACACCACCCUUCAGAAAACCAAAGAUAUGUGGACAUGAUUUCCCAUCCUGACACUCCCAGUCCUGAGCCGGGUAUGACUGGCCCCCUCCAUCCUAUUUCUGGUGAAGUCUUCACUGGUGGUCCUAGUCCUCCCUUUUCUAUGUCUAACAAUAGUGGCUUUAGUGGUCCUCUGCCCCAUCAGAACCUUGACAUUAAUGAAGCCACUGUAUGGUAAUAAAAGACACUUGUUGACUUGUUGAAAUGAUCUCUUUAGUUGACCAGAAGUCAUUCUGUCUCUUUCCUUCUACUCUUCACUCAACAAUUGGGUGCUUGUACGCCUGAUUCCAACAGACAGGCCCAACCAACCUUGGAAAUGAUUCAGUUCCGUGGUACAUUUUCUCCUUGCUGAGCGAUGGCUGAAUCAACGUAGGAGUGGGCAAUCUGGGGUGAUUAAAAACCAAAACCAAGAACGACACUAAACCAAAAGCCAUUUGUAUGACAGCAGAAGAGAAACUGCAAUCUGUACAAGCUCUCCUUGUCCUGUAGCACCGGAGCCACAAGUCCAGUUAUCGGAAAGAGGGAAGAUAAAUGGGACCAACAUGGCACCAAAACCAAAACACACCUUCAUGACUAUUUAUUAUGAAGCUGCCUCCCUACCCAGCUUGAGAACCAGGAGAAAGCCUAAAACAACAAACUCUACAUGGUACCACGUAUAACAUUUUCUGGACCAGAAACCCAAAAGGAGGCGUUUCACUAGAACAAUCGAGUUCAAAUAUUUUGUAUUUAUUUCACAUUGAACAUGUAUUUUUAAGAAUGAUAAUAAAAAAUGGUUACAGGGGUUUUGUGUCUAAGCUCAAGACAAUGUUAAAAUUAACAGGGAAGCAUUCAUUUCAGAAAUGUCCUUAACGCUGCCUGCCACCCCAUUAAAACCUAUUUUGUAUUUA